UACGUAGGGGGCGAGCGUUGUCCGGAUUCAUUGGGCGUAAAGCGCUUUAAGGCGGUUCGUUAAGUCGCGUGUGAAACCUCCAGGCUCAACCUGGAGACGCCACGCGAUACUGGCGUGACUAGAGUUCGGUAGGGGAUCACGGAAUUCCUGGUGUAGCGGUGAAAUGCGCAGAUAUCAGGAGGAACACCGGUGGCGAAGGCGGUGAUCUGGGCCGACACUGACGCUGUAGAGCGAAAGCGUGGGGAGCGAACAGG
rnacentral:rRNA from 1 species